AUUGAACGCUGGCGGCAGGCCUAACACAUGCAAGUCGAAAGAGUGGCGGACGGGUGAGUAAGGUCUGGGAAACUGCCCGAUGGAGGGGGAUAACUACUGGAAAAGGUAGCUAAUACCGCAUACCAUCGGAUGUGCCCAGAUGGGAUUAGCUAGUAGGUGGGGUAACGGCUCACCUAGGCGACGAUCCCUAGCUGGUCUGAGAGGAUGACCAGCCACGCUGGAACUGAGACACGGGCCAGACUCCUACGGGAUGCCGCAGUGGGACAUCUUGCACAAUGGGCGCACGCCUGAUGCAGCCAUGCCGCGUGUAUGAAGGAGGCCUUCGAGUUGUAAAGUACUUUCAGCGAGUAGGCGUUACUCGCAGAAGAAGCACCGGCUAACUCCGUGCCAGCAGCCGCGGUAAUAC
rnacentral:rRNA from 1 species